CUUGUAGAAUUUUUGACCAAGCAAAGCAUAGAGUUCCCCUUUAAUGGCUUUGAGUUCAUCUAUAGAAUUCUAGUCUUGACUAUAGCACAAAGAUUAAUAUUCCUAACUGCUCCAGAAUUUUUUUUUUUUGGAAUGGAACUGCUGUUAUUAUACCACCAGGUUUACCUUUCUUCAGGUUUGUGCUGAACAAGACAAUAGGUGCCACUGAGUCUACAAUUUUAAAGGAAGAACUGGAUUCCUCACGCCCUGAGGUGUGGCAGGACCAGCAGAAAGGAGAAAAGGUUGAAUCCACCAGCUGAAGACAGAAACUUCAAAAUAAGAUUUUUU
rnacentral:lncRNA from 1 species